AAUAACGUGAAGCAUUAUGUGGGUGGUGUGUAAAUAGGUUUUGUAUAGAAAUAUAAAGAGAGUUUGUGAUAUCUAAAUUCAAAAUAGUAUUGAGAUUA